rnacentral:rRNA from 1 species
GGAAUAUUGGACAAUGGGCGAAAGCCUGAUCCAGCCAUGCCGCGUGUGUGAAGAAGGUCUUCGGAUUGUAAAGCACUUUAAGUUGGGAGGAAGGGCAUUUACCUAAUACGUAAGUGUUUUGACGUUACCGACAGAAUAAGCACCGGCUAACUCUGUGCCAGCAGCCGCGGUAAUACAGAGGGUGCAAGCGUUAAUCGGAAUUACUGGGCGUAAAGCGCGCGUAGGUGGUUUGUUAAGUUGGAUGUGAAAUCCCCGGGCUCAACCUGGGAACUGCAUCCAAAACUGGCAAGCUAGAGUAUGGUAGAGGGUGGUGGAAUUUCCUGUGUAGCGGUGAAAUGCGUAGAUAUAGGAAGGAACACCAGUGGCGAAGGCGACCACCUGGACUGAUACUGACACUGAGGUGCGAAAGCGUGGGGAGCAAACAGGAUUAGAUACCCUAG